AGUUCUUUCCUGCACCAGGUUCUAUGGAGAAUUGGUUGCAUGGUUUCUCGUGUUGUGGGCAUCAGGGACUUCAGGGUCAAGGUGUUUAGUUGUGGCUUUGUGCAAACCUCAGAACUGUGUCCUCCAAGGGCCUGGGGUAUUUGGCAGGCGCUGUCUCUUGCUGCAUUUGCUGCUGUGUGACAGACAAAAUAGAAGCCACCUGGAGGCAACUUCCUCACCCAUCAACAAGCUCACCAGCCUUCAUGCCUCUCCUUCGGAGCUUCCCUGCCGACAGUGGCAGCCACCUUCCUCUGGAACCACCUUCCUGGGCCUCUCCUUCAAUUAAGCUGCACAGCAGCAUUUUCUACACUUGCUCUGGCUGCAUCCUCACUAUCCUGCACUAGCAAUUGUUGGUGAGGUUCUUCAGGCUGCAGAUGGAGACAUAGGAAGGGCUGGACUGACUCCCCUUCUCACUGUGGCUGGGCAGGGUAGGGGGUACCCCGGCUUCCAGGAUCUCUGGAAGCAAGGACAACCUCAACGGCUGAUCCUCAUCCUCUGGCGCCAUCUGCUGCCCAGAUGGGGACACAGCCCUCUUGCUGCACCGAGAAAAUGCGUGUCCUGAAUUCUCCGUGAGCUUUACUGAAUUAAAACAAACAACAUAAAAUCAUGGGAGUGCCUUUAAUUAAUGUUGAAUAAGUGAAUAAGAUUAUAAUA
rnacentral:antisense_RNA from 1 species